UACGUAGGGGGCAAGCGUUGUCCGGAAUCAUUGGGCGUAAAGAGCGUGUAGGCGGCUCGAUAAGUCUGCUGUGAAAGUCCAGGGCUCAACCCUGGAAGGCCGGUGGAAACUGGCGGGCUAGGGUCCGGAAGAGGCGAGUGGAAUUCCCGGUGUAGCGGUGAAAUGCGCAGAUAUCGGGAGGAACACCAAUGGCGAAGGCAGCUCGCUGGGACGGUACUGACGCUGAGACGCGAAAGCGUGGGGAGCAAACAGG
rnacentral:rRNA from 1 species